rnacentral:rRNA from 1 species
AUGCAUGCAGUUGAGCGAAGCUUUUCAGUAGUUUACUACAGAAAAUGACUGAGCGGCGAACGGGUGAGUAACGCGUGAGCAAUCUACCUUAGUUACUGGGAUAGCCCGAGGAAACUCGGAUUAAUACCGGAUAUUCUUAUUUUUUCACAUGAAGUUUUAAGGAAAGGUCAGCCGAACUAAGAUGAGCUCGCGUUCUAUCAGCUAGUUGGUGGGGUAAAAGCCUACCAAGGCUACGACGGAUAGCUGGUCUGAGAGGACGAUCAGCCACACUGGGACCGAGACACGGCCCAGACUCCUACGGGAGGCUGCAGCAGGGAAUAUUGCGCAAUGAGCGAAAGCUUGACGCAGCGACACCGCGUGUGGGAUGACGGUUCUAGGAUUGUAAACCACUUUCAGGAGGGAAGAAAAUGACGGUGCCUCCACAAGAAGACCCGGCCAACUACGUGCCAGCAGCCGCGGUAAUACGUAGGGGUCAAGCGUUGUCCGGAUUUAUUGGGCGUAAAGAGCUCGUAGGCGGUUCAACAAGUCGGUCGUAAAAGUUUAGGGCUCAACCCUAAAAUGUCGAUCGAUACUGUUGUGACUAGGAUACGGUAGAGGUGAAUGGAAUUCCGAGUGUAGCGGUGAAAUGCGUAGAUAUUCGGAGGAACACCAAUUGCGAAGGCAGUUCACUGGACCGUGAUCGACGCUGAGGAGCGAAAGCUAGGGGAGCAAACAGGAUUAGAUACCCUGGUAGUCCU